UACGAAGGGGGCUAGCGUUGCUCGGAUUGACUGGGCGUAAAGGGCGCGUAGGCGGCGGACACAGUCAGACGUGAAAUUCCUGGGCUCAACCUGGGGGCUGCGUUUGAUACAUGUCUGCUUGAGUUCGGAAGAGGGUCGUGGAAUUCCCAGUGUAGAGGUGAAAUUCGUAGAUAUUGGGAAGAACACCGGUGGCGAAGGCGGCGACCUGGUCCGAUACUGACGCUGAGGCGCGAAAGCGUGGGGAGCGAACAGG
rnacentral:rRNA from 1 species